rnacentral:rRNA from 1 species
UCGAUUAGAGUUUGAUUAUGGCUCAGAACGAACGCUGGCGGCGUGCCUAACACAUGCAAGUCGAGCGAGAAAGUCCCCGCAAGGGGAUGAGUAAAGCGGCGAACGGGUGAGUAACACGUGGGCAACCUGCCCUUCAGUUAGGAAUAACCCAUCGAAAGGUGGGCUAAUACCAGAUGACGUCCCUUGGGGGCAUCCUCGGGGGACCAAAGGGGGCGAGCGAAAGCGGCUCCCGCUGAAGGAUGGGCCUGCGGCUGAUUAGCUAGUUGGUGGGGUAGCGGCCUACCAAGGCAACGAUCAGUAGCCGACCUGAGAGGGUGACCGGCCACACUGGGACUGAGACACGGCCCAGACUCCUACGGGAGGCAGCAGUGGGGAAUAUUGCGCAAUGGGCGAAAGCCUGACGCAGCGACGCCGCGUGGGUGAUGAAGGCCUUCGGGUCGUAAAACCCUGUCGGGUGGAACGAAUCUCCGCUUGGCUAAUACCGAGGCGGAUUGACGGUACCACCGAAGGAAGCCCCGGCUAACUACGUGCCAGCAGCCGCGGUAAUACGUAGGGGGCGAGCGUUGUUCGGAUUUACUGGGCGUAAAGAGCGCGUAGGUGGUUCGAUUAGUCGGAGGUGAAAUCCCUCGGCUCAACCGANNACCCGCGUCCGAUANNNUCGAACUUGAGUGCAGGAGANNAG